GACGAAGUGACAAUCGAGCUCAACGUGCUUCAUUCGCUCGUGGAAGACAGGGUUACGGGCGAUGUAUAUCGCUGCUUGGUUGUCAGAGUGAAUCGGAACAGGAAGAGAAGGUGGAGAUGACAGAUCUGCAAGAAGGCGUACCAACCAGGUAAUUUCUGCAGUAACUCGCCUCAUAAGCCUAUAUUCUGCCUCUGCAGAUGAAAGUGAUAUUGAUGUCUACUUUUUCGAUUUCCAGGAUAUCAGAUCUCCACCAAGGAUGAUGAAAAACCCAUUUACGGACCUCCUGGAGUCUUUGCAAGCCGCCUAGUCGGUGUCACAAAAAGCGAUAAAAUCAAAAGAAGGAUCUGAAGAUAGGAAGAUUCCUUGUGAAAGAUCUGUAGAUAAAUAGCGUAAAACACACAAGCCAACUGUGAAAUGAGAA
rnacentral:lncRNA from 1 species